AUUGAACGCUGGCGGCAGGCUUAACACAUGCAAGUCGAGCGGAGAUGAGGUGCUUGCACCUUAUCUUAGCGGCGGACGGGUGAGUAAUGCUUAGGAAUCUGCCUAUUAGUGGGGGACAACAUUCCGAAAGGGAUGCUAAUACCGCAUGCGUCCUACGGGAGAAAGCAGGGGAUCUUCGGACCUUGCGCUAAUAGAUGAGCCUAAGUCGGAUUAGCUAGUUGGUGGGGUAAAGGCCUACCAAGGCGACGAUCUGUAGCGGGUCUGAGAGGAUGAUCCGCCACACUGGGACUGAGACACGGCCCAGACUCCUACGGGAGGCAGCAGUGGGGAAUAUUGGACAAUGGGGGGAACCCUGAUCCAGCCAUGCCGCGUGUGUGAAGAAGGCCUUAUGGUUGUAAAGCACUUUAAGCGAGGAGGAGGCUACUGAGACUAAUACUCUUGGAUAGUGGACGUUACUCGCAGAAUAAGCACCGGCUAACUCUGUGCCAGCAGCCGCUGUAAUAC
rnacentral:rRNA from 1 species